CCUAUGGGGGGCAGCAGUGGGGGAUAUUGCACAAUGGGGGGAACCCUGAUGCAGCGACGCCGCGUGGGUGAAGAAGCGCCUCGGCGCGUAAAGCCCUGUCAGCAGGGAAGAAAAUGACGGUACCUGAAGAAGAAGCCCCGGCUAACUACGGGCCAGCAGCCGCGGUAAUACGUAGGGGGCAAGCGUUAUCCGGAUUUACUGGGGGUAAAGGGGGCGCGGACGGGGAUGCAAGCCAGGAGUGAAAGCCCGGGGCCCAACCCCGGGACUGCCGUUGGAACUGCGUGGCUGGAGUGCAGGAGGGGCAGGCGGAAUUCCGGGUGUAGGGGUGAAAGGCGUAGAUAUCAGGAGGAAAACCAGUGGCGAAGGCGGCCUGCUGGACUGCAACUGACGUUGAGGCCCGAAAGCGUGGGGAGCAAACAGGAUUAGAUACCCUGGUAGUC
rnacentral:rRNA from 1 species